rnacentral:rRNA from 1 species
GUCGACGGCCAUGCCACCCUGAACAAGCCCGAUCCCAUCUGAUCUCAGAAGCUAAGCAAAGUCGGGCCUGGUUAGUACUUGAAUGGGAGACUACCUAGGAAGACCAGAUGCUGUAGGUA